rnacentral:rRNA from 1 species
AACGAACGCUGGCGGCAGGCUUAACACAUGCAAGUCGAGCGCCCCGCAAGGGUAGCGGCAGACGGGUGAGUAACGCGUGGGAACGUACCUUUUGGUUCGGAACAACUCCGGGAAACUGGAGCUAAUACCGGAUAAGCCCUAACGGGGAAAGAUUUAUCGCCGAAAGAUCGGCCCGCGUCUGAUUAGCUAGUUGGUGAGGUAACGGCCCACCAAGGCGACGAUCAGUAGCUGGUCUGAGAGGAUGAUCAGCCACACUGGGACUGAGACACGGCCCAGACUCAUACGGGAGGCAGCAGUGGGGAAUAUUGGACAAUGGGCGCAAGCCUGAUCCAGCCAUGCCGCGUGAGUGAUGAAGGCCUUAGGGUUGUAAAGCUCUUUUGUCCGGGAAGAUAAUGACUGUAGCGGAAGAAUAAGCCCCGGCUAACUUCGUG